GGUUUUGUGAAAUAGAGAAACUUAGUUUAGUGUAGCUCUCCCACAGUGUGAAAACUGUUUGGGCUUUUGCGUUCUCCUUCUGUGGUUUAUUGACGGAAACUCUUGUUUUUCUUGUGUUUGCCUGAACGCCCCACGACAGAGGAUCAAAUGUGACACGGGACUCACAUUUUCAGAGUACGAGGAAGAGGAUGCGAGGAAGACGUGUGGUUUUCAUUUCUCCUGCUGUGCAUUAGAUGUUGAAC